GGCGGCGUGCUUAACACAUGCAAGUCGAACGAUGAACCACUUCGGUGGGGAUUAGUGGCGAACGGGUGAGUAACACGUGGGCAAUCUGCCCUGCACUCUGGGACAAGCCCUGGAAACGGGGUCUAAUACCGGAUAUGACCCUCGCAGGCAUCUGUGAGGGUGUAAAGCUCCGGCGGUGCAGGAUGAGCCCGCGGCCUAUCAGCUUGUUGGUGAGGUAACGGCUCACCAAGGCGACGACGGGUAGCCGGCCUGAGAGGGCGACCGGCCACACUGGGACUGAGACACGGCCCAGACUCCUACGGGAGGCAGCAGUGGGGAAUAUUGCACAAUGGGCGAAAGCCUGAUGCAGCGACGCCGCGUGAGGGAUGACGGCCUUCGGGUUGUAAACCUCUUUCAGCAGGGAAGAAGCGAAAGUGACGGUACCUGCAGAAGAAGCGCCGGCUAACUACGUGCCAGCAGCCGCGGUAAUACGUAGGGCGCAAGCGUUGUCCGGAAUUAUUGGGCGUAAAGAGCUCGUAGGCGGCUUGUCGCGUCGGUUGUGAAAGCCCGGGGCUUAACCCCGGGUCUGCAGUCGAUACGGGCAGGCUAGAGUUCGGUAGGGGAGAUCGGAAUUCCUGGUGUAGCGGUGAAAUGCGCAGAUAUCAGGAGGAACACCGGUGGCGAAGGCGGAUCUCUGGGCCGAUACUGACGCUGAGGAGCGAAAGCGUGGGGAGCGAACAGGAUUAGAUACCCUGGUAGUCCACGCCGUAAACGGUGGGCACUAGGUGUGGGCGACAUUCCACGUCGUCCGUGCCGCAGCUAACGCAUUAAGUGCCCCGCCUGGGGAGUACGGCCGCAAGGCUAAAA
rnacentral:rRNA from 1 species